rnacentral:rRNA from 1 species
GACGAACGCUGGCGGCGUGCCUAAUACAUGCAAGUCGAGCGAAGUUUUUCUGGUGCUUGCACUAGAAAAACUUAGCGGCGAACGGGUGAGUAACACGUAAAGAACCUGCCUCAUAGACUGGGACAACUAUUGGAAACGAUAGCUAAUACCGGAUAACAGCAUUAGCUGCAUGGUUGAUGUUUAAAAGUUGGUUUUGCUAACACUAUGAGAUGGCUUUGCGGUGCAUUAGCUAGUUGGUGGGGUAAAGGCCUACCAAGGCGACGAUGCAUAGCCGACCUGAGAGGGUGAUCGGCCACACUGGGACUGAGACACGGCCCAGACUCCUACGGGAGGCAGCAGUAGGGAAUCUUCCGCAAUGGGCGAAAGCCUGACGGAGCAACGCCGCGUGAGUGAAGAAGGAUUUCGGUUCGUAAAGCUCUGUUGUUAGGGAAGAAUGAUUGUGUAGUAACUAUACACAGUAGAGACGGUACCUAACCAGAAAGCCACGGCUAACUACGUG